UCAAACUCUUCAGGUGAUCAGUCAUGGACAGAACUGUGCUUCUGGUCCUGUUGAGUCUGCAGGCUCUCCUCCUCAUCACCGCCUUCACUCAUGAUGGAGCAGCUUCUGUGACCAUACCUGAUCGGCAAGUUUUGAAGGCUCAAAACGUGGAGAAAAUAUCAGGGCAAAGAAAGCAUGUAACACAGGCCAACAAAUGCAAAUAUAAGCCAGGAGCAUGCCGACCUUUUGGGAUCAAAAAAUGAAGAGCAGCAUCAGGAUGUAAGCUCUCCUCUUCACUGAUCACACCACAAACUCCCCUGCAAAGACGGAUCUCGGCUGCAUCAAAUCACUUCGUGAAAACAUGUUCCCAUGUCCUGUAUUUCAAAUGUGUUUUCUUUUUGAGGAUUUUUAGAAAAUCAAAUGUCUUAAAAACAGAUAAUCCCUGAAGGGAGAUUUAAUUGAGGACUUCAUUUGUUUUGUACUUUGAUGAUAAUUUCCUUUUUGCUGAUGUUUUCUUACUGUAAAAAAAGAGCAAGAAAUACAAUGCAUUGUUGAAGAUUAAACGAUCAGACACGUUG